AGACCACCAGCUAAGGUCCCAAAAUAUAUGUUAAGUGGAAAAGGAUGUGGCGUUGCCCAGACAACUAGGAUGUUGGCUUAGAAGCAGCCAUCAUUUAAAGAGUGCGUAAUAGCUCACUAGUCGAGUGACACUGCGCCGAAAAUGUACCGGGGCUAAACAUAUUACCGAAGCUGUGGAUUGUCCUUUGGACAAUGGUAGGAGAGCGUUCUAAGGGCGUUGAAGCAUGAUCGUAAGGACAUGUGGAGCGCUUAGAAGUGAGAAUGCCGGUGUGAGUAGCGAAAGACGGGUGAGAAUCCCGUCCACCGAUUGACUAAGGUUUCCAGAGGAAGGCUCGUCCGCUCUGGGUUAGUCGGGUCCUAAGCUGAGGCCGACAGGCGUAGGCGAUGGAUAACAGGUUGAUAUUCCUGUACCACCUAUAAUCGUUUUAAUCGAUGGGGGGACGCAGUAGGAUAGGCGAAGCGUGCGAUUGGAUUGCACGUCUAAGCAGUAAGGCUGAGUAUUAGGCAAAUCCGGUACUCGUUAAGGCUGAGCUGUGAUGGGGAGAAGACAUUGUGUCUUCGAGUCGUUGAUUUCACACUGCCGAGAAAAGCCUCUAGAUAGAAAAUAGGUGCCCGUACCGCAAACCGACACAGGUAGUCAAGAUGAGAAUUCUAAGGUGAGCGAGCGAACUCUCGUUAAGGAACUCGGCAAAAUGACCCCGUAACUUCGGGAGAAGGGGUGCUCUUUAGGGUUAACGCCCAGAAGAGCCGCAGUGAAUAGGCCCAAGCGACUGUUUAUCAAAAACACAGGUCUCUGCUAAACCGUAAGGUGAUGUAUAGGGGCUGACGCCUGCCCGGUGCUGGAAGGUUAAGAGGAGUGGUUAGCUUCUGCGAAGCUACGAAUCGAAGCCCCAGUAAACGGCGGCCGUAACUAUAACGGUCCUAAGGUAGCGAAAUUCCUUGUCGGGUAAGUUCCGACCCGCACGAAAGGCGUAACGAUUUGGGCACUGUCUCAACGAGAGACUCGGUGAAAUCAUAGUACCUGUGAAGAUGCAGGUUACCCGCGACAGGACGGAAAGACCCCGUGGAGCUUUACUGUAGCCUGAUAUUGAAAUUCGGCACAGCUUGUACAGGAUAGGUAGGAGCCUUUGAAACGUGAGCGCUAGCUUACGUGGAGGCGCUGGUGGGAUACUACCCUAGCUGUGUUGGCUUUCUAACCCGCACCACUUAUCGUGGUGGGAGACAGUGUCAGGCGGGCAGUUUGACUGGGGCGGUCGCCUCCUAAAAGGUAACGGAGGCGCUCAAAGGUUCCCUCAGAAUGGUUGGAAAUCAUUCAUAGAGUGUAAAGGCAUAAGGGAGCUUGACUGCGAGACCUACAAGUCGAGCAGGGUCGAAAGACGGACUUAGUGAU
rnacentral:rRNA from 1 species